GGGGACAUAGCUCAAUUGGUAGAGCACCGGCUUUGCAAGCCGGGGGUUGUGGGUUCGAGUCCCAUUGUCUCCA
rnacentral:tRNA from 1 species